rnacentral:rRNA from 1 species
GACGAACGCUGGCGGCGUGCCUAAUACAUGCAAGUCGCACGCAGUGGGGACGGGUGAGUAACACGUGGGUAACCUCCCAUCAGAGGGGAUAACACUUGGAAACAGGUGCUAAACCGAUACUGAUGGAUGGACCCGAGGUGCAUUAGCUCGUUGGUGAGGUACAGGCUGACCAAGGCCACGAUGCAUAGACGACCCGAGAGGACGACCAGCCACACUGGGACUGAGAUACGGCCCAGACUCCGACGUGAGGCAGCAGUGGGGAAUGUUGGACAAUGGGGGAAACUCUGAUCCAGCCAUCCGGCGUGUGGGAUGAAGGCCGUCGGGUUUUAAAGCACGUUUGGCAGGGAGGCGGAACCUGCAGAAUAAGCACCGGCUAACUACGUGCCAGCAGCCGCGGUAAUAC